CAAGCCCUAGGCGUAUGCAGGUAUUCUGUGAAACUGGAAUGUGGAUUGUUUCUGUUUUUCCAUGGUGGAGGGGGGAAUAAGAGUAGGUAGACAGAAGGGGAAUUUUCUCUGAUGAACUUGUGGUCAUUUUCCGGUGGUGGUAUUCGUUUCCUUCAUAUCUUUGGCGGUAAUCGGGUUGUAUAAAAUAAUUGGCACGAACCGAUGUCGUGUCAUAUUCCUUUCGAAUGUCCUUCCAACCCAAAUGUUGACGGAGGGUGUACGUUAAAAUGCUUUAUGUGGGUUUUUGUUAAUCGCCCUAUGCAUUUUUACGCAUCUCGAAAUUUUUUUUUUCCGAUAAUUAAUCAAACUUGCGAACGUAGGGCAAAUUCGAAGCGAUGGUAAAUGUUUCGUUAACUUAGAUCACAAGUAAUGGUGGUUUUUCGGGUUUUUGUGCAAAAGAUCUUCCGAUCCGACCUUUUUGGUCAUUUGAUUUUGGAUCCAGCGAUCUGUCUCUCGAAGGUUUGACAAAAACGAAAAAGCUCUUAAACGUCGUACCAUGUGGACUCGAGAAUUCCUAACCCUAGAUACCUUUGUGAAAGGAAAAUAAAAGAGAAUACCAAAAAUGCUUUCUGCGUGAGCGUAAGCAUUUCGCCCAAAAGAAGAGAAAUGCUAAUGCUAAGGAGAUUUUCGUAAAGUGAGAUUUUUUUUUAACUCUAUGGUUCUCACGGGUGUCAAAAUUUUGAUGGUAGUCGUUGCGUAUUUCUCACUCUUCAUCUCCUU
rnacentral:lncRNA from 1 species